rnacentral:lncRNA from 1 species
AGAGGGUGGCCGGGCGGCCAGCGUCUGAUGUCAGCCUGGAGCUGGGCCAGGGAGUGCAGGGCGGGCGGCGCUGGGAGCGAGGGAGGAAGGGUGCGGGGCCGGGCCGGGCUGGGUGGGCGCCCGCGGCAGGCGUAGGGGCUGCGCUCGGCGCUCCCGGCUGCGCGCUCGGCCUCGGCGGCGGCCCGGGCGCCCGUGACUCAGGGUGCGUCACCGGAGCAGAUGCCCGGGGCGGUUGGAGGCUCCCGGGCUCCCGCUGACUCAUCAGAAAGGCCUGCCGCGCGGCCCGGGGGGCGGGGGAACGUGGGGGACCGCGGGGAGCUGCCGGGCAGGCGGCAGCCGAGGUCGUUUGAGGCGCGCAGAGCCGGAAAACCCCACGGAGACGGCUGGGCGGGGGCGGGGCGAUCGGCACUGACCAGGUCACCUGCAGCGCGGGCUGACGGCGGGCGACUGAAGGAGGGAGCAAGUCUCCCACCCCCAGCAGCCGGCGGCCGCUUCCGAAGUCUGCCCCCUUCCACUGCGGAGCGGCGCCCCGCGGGCCCCCAGCCAGCGCGCCCGAGGCGCCCCCGCCCCGUGUCGCUCGCGCUGCGUUAUUGGGAGAAGGCGGUUCCUGAGCACCAGCACGGGCCUCGGUGACACCGGAGGUCGCUGGGGUCUUCCCCUUCCCCUUAAGACUCUGGGUCUGUCUGUGGGAAGAGCUUUCAUUCCCCACCCCACUCUAUGCCGACCCUCUCCGGGGGAGGCUCCACUGGCACUGUAGACACCACGUGCUGGGUAAAAAGGCCUGGUCCCAGCGCUUCCCUGUCACUGACUGCUAACCACAAGGCGCCGUGGCACUCAGGAAAUGCGGCAGGGGGGCUGGAGAACUAUCAGGAAGGGGUGUGGGCAGAGAAGAGGCUUCCACCCUGUCUUGGAACACGGACACAGUCCAUGGCAUUCAAAAGAGGUGGGAGGCUCCUCUGUGCACGUGCCUUCCGCCCCCGGGACAGGUGGAGGAGGGGAUUUGACUGGUCCUCACCCUCUGCAUUUAUAGUCUGGGCACACCUUGGGCAGUGCCGCAGGAGGGCGCUGUGGAGUACAGGCACAUGCAGAAGGUGUGGCGAGGGCUUCCUGGUGGAGCUGGCAGUAGGGCAGGGACCUUGAAAAGGAAUGAUUUGAACAGAUCGGAAAAGACAUUCCAGACAGAAACAAAUGCCUGAAACCCAAACCGAGAAGCAGGAAAGAGCAGACUGCGUUCUCGGAAUGGCAGGGAGUCCAGUUUGACUGGAAGACCUGAGGCUCAGAGGCGCAUCACGGCCCAGAUGCAGACCACAGAGGCAGGCACAGUGGCCCAGGAGGACCGAGGACCUGGAGUCACGGGGUUCCGCCCGCUGCCCCUGGGGAACCGAGUCAUGCCAGUUCCCAGACAGAUGAAUUCCUUCCAAGAAUUCCACAGUCCUGCUCAAUCCUAGCCGCCAAGCCUCCUGGCCUUGGAUGGCUGCUGUCUAAUGCAGAUCCUCUUUCAUCCAGAUUUCAAAUAUUUUUCCUAUUCUGUCCUUUGAUCACUAACGUUUAUGUUUAUCUACAUCAGCAUCCCUCAAUCCUGACGGCACUCUGAAAUUAUCUAGGGGUGCUUUAAAAAAGAAAAAUGUUGAUGCAUGGCCCUCCUCCAGGAAAUCUGAUUUUAUUGGUCUGGGGUGGGGCCCAGGCAUCAGCAGACUUUUAAUGAGCAGUUAGAGAGGAGAACCACUGAUGGAGAUGGUCACCAGGGAGUGUCCAGGUCAGACCGCCACAGAAGAGUGCAGCCUCCUGGCCUUCAGACCCAACUGGGACAAACCCUGAGAACAGCCUUGGCAGACCUCCAGGGGCAGCUGGACUCCCUGAGGCUGGAUGUUGCAGCCUCUCCCAGGCAUCCACUCUGCAGCUGAGGCCAAAGUUUCCAACGGGAAGGGAGGGUGAGGCUUCUAUUUGUUUCCCAAGAGCCAGCUGACCUUUGAAGCUAGUGAUAACCACCACAAACCUCACUGGUGGGAGAACGAGGCACUGCAGCCAGUUCUCAUCAACCCCACAUCCCUGCAGGGGGCCCCAAGGCGGAUGUGUCACCAUCCUCUGCAACGCUGGGCCUCAGAGGUGGAGGAGGCCCAGCCAUGGCCAGAUGGGGGAUCUGGGGAACAGGUCCUCUGCUUUCUGGGAAAAUAGAGGAGAGUCUCCGAGUCUGGGCCUUGCCACUCCUCACUCAGCAUCUGACCAUCCCCACCUCCUGGAUCUACAGGGUUCAUAGAGGAGGACCCAGAAGAGGGAAAGUCAGGCUGAGGAACUUGGCCUCCCUGCUGCAAGGGAAAUGACAUCGGUUACCAAGGAGGUGACCAGCUAUCCUUUUCCAAGACUGAAAAGCAGAAAUACGGCCCUGAGGCUAGAGGGUCUAAGAGAACAAUAGGAAGAAUUUCCUGACAAAGGACAAUGUUGCCUAAAGGACUCAGGAAGCUCUGUGAAAACAGGAGACUCCCGAGCAGAGCACCAGACCCUUCUCCACCAGGCAGUGUUUUUCCCAUAUGACAGGUGAGAAAACUGAGGCUGAGAGACAUGUAAUAACUUGCUGAAGCAGCAACCAGCACACCAUAUAGCUGAAAUCUGUAGAUCAGCAGUUAAAAGUGGUAGGGCAAGUCCUCUCUGACUUUCAGCGCUAAGAGCCUAGGAUUCUGUGUUUUUCUGCUUAAGCCUGGGAAUCAGAGUCCUACAAAAGCCGCGCCUAAUCCUGGGGGUGUGGGCUUUAAACCCAGAGAGAAAGCAUGUUAUUGGAAUACUCCUGCACUUUUCUCCCUUUGAAUCCCACCACGGAAAGAAAAUUCUGUGACGUGUACCCAGUAUUUAUUGGAGGGUAUUUCCUAGCAAGAAAAUGAGGGCGAUUGACCAGGCACGGUGGCUCACGCCUGUAAUCCCAGCACUUUGGGAGGUCAAGGUGAGUGGAUCACAUGAGGUCAGGAGUUCGAGACCAGCCUGACCAACAUGGAGAAACCCCGUCUCUACUAAAAAUACAAAAUUAGCCGGGCGUGGGGUGGCGCAUGCCUGUAAUUCCAGCUACUCCUGAGGCUGUGGCAGCAGAAUCGCUUGAACCCGGGAGACAGAGGUUGCAGUGAGUUGAGAUCAAGCCAUCGCACUCCAGCCUGGGCAACAGAGUGAGACUCUGUCAAAAAAGAAAGUGUGGUACAUCUAUACUAAUGGAGUACUAUUUAGCCGUCAAAGAAAAAAAAGAAAAGAAAAAGAAAGAGAAAGAAAGAAAGAAGGAAAGAAAGAAAGAAAAAGAAAAUGAAGGCGAUUGUCAACAGCCUCUGGAAAUACAGAGCAGGGUCCAGAAAUGGCCCCUUCUUAGAUGGCGGGCUGGACAGUGCUGCUCCUUCUUAGCCACUGGCGGCAGAAAGACAAAGCCUGGUAAUUGUUCUUGGGAUUCUCCCUGUCACCUCUCCUUGUAGGUCACAAGCUUCCUGAUGCGACAGCCCGUGGGACUACUAGAAGGAAAGAUACUCCUUUUCCCAUUUUACAGAUCAGGAAACUGAGACUGGACAGAAACACCACCAGGAUUGAACUGUGAAUGGAUCUGACUCCAACCCACAAAUUCUUCACCUGGUCUCGAAAAGAGGCCCUGGCAACCUACUGCGCACCAGAGGGGAACCCGCCCGCCGUCCCAGGCCGGGCUCUCCCUGCUGCGGAGCGGCCCGGGCGCGGCGGGACAGGGAACGGAAGGAACGGGCUUGGCGCGCACUCGCCGAGGCCCAGGCAGGAUUCGAGCGCCAGGGAGGCGCCCAUUUCCCUUCCCCCGCGCCUGGGAACGCGGUGCUGGGGGCGGGGCCCGACCGCUGCCCCCUCCAAACGCCUCGACCGCCAGGUGCCCCGAAGCCCGGCCUCCCCUCCCACCCCCGCGCCUGUUCCCGGCGCAGCCCGAGCCGUGGCAGUCACGUCUCCCCAUCCGGCCCCAAAAAGCCACAGGGGAACUGCCUCCUACAGAUAAAAAGAUCCCUGCUUUGAGCCUGAAUGAAUCAGCCAAGGCCCCCUUUCUUCCAACCAACCAACCCUAACCAG